rnacentral:rRNA from 1 species
AUUGAACGCUGGCGGCGUGCUUAACACAUGCAAGUCGAUCGGUAACGCGGGGGCAACCCUGGCGACGAGAGGCGGACGGGUGAGGAACGCUUGGGAAUCUGCCUAUCAGCGGGGGACAACACGGGGAAACUCGUGCUAAUACCGCAUACGCUCUACGGAGGAAAGCCGGGGACCGCAAGGCCUGGCACUGAUAGAUGAGCCCAAGCCGGAUUAGCUAGUUGGCGGGGUAACGGCCCACCAAGGCGACGAUCCGUAGCUGGUCUGAGAGGACGAUCAGCCACACUGGAACUGAGACACGGUCCAGACUCCUACGGGAGGCAGCAGUGGGGAAUAUUGGACAAUGGGGGAAACCCUGAUCCAGCGACGCCGCGUGGGUGAAGAAGGCCUGCGGGUUGUAAAGCCCUUUCGGUAGGGACGAAAGCUCUCGACCUAACACGUCGGGAGGUUGACUUAACCUACAGAAGAAGCACCGGCUAACUCUGUGCCAGCAGCCGCAGUAAUAC